AUUGAACGCUGGCGGCAUGCCUUACACAUGCAAGUCGAACGGCAGCAUAGGAGCUUGCUCCUGAUGGCGAGUGGCGAACGGGUGAGUAAUAUAUCGGAACGUGCCCUAGAGUGGGGGAUAACUAGUCGAAAGACUAGCUAAUACCGCAUACGAUCUACGGAUGAAAGUGGGGGAUCGCAAGACCUCAUGCUCCUGGAGCGGCCGAUAUCUGAUUAGCUAGUUGGUGGGGUAAAAGCCUACCAAGGCGACGAUCAGUAGCUGGUCUGAGAGGACGACCAGCCACACUGGGACUGAGACACGGCCCAGACGCCUACGGGAGGCAGCAGUGGGGAAUUUUGGACAAUGGGGGCAACCCUGAUUCAGCAAUGCCGCGUGAGUGAAGAAGGCCUUCGGGUUGUAAAGCUCUUUUGUCAGGGAAGAAACGGUAGUAGCUAAUAUCUAUUACUAAUGACGGUACCUGAAGAAUAAGCACCGGCUAACUACGUGCCAGCAGCCGCUGUAACAC
rnacentral:rRNA from 1 species